AGCUUUGUGCAGUGGCAGUAUUGUAGCCAAUGAGGUUUAUCUGAGGGGUGAUUAUUGCUAAUUGAAAAAUUUUCGCAAUACCCUGCCAUGACAACUUGACAUACAGUCAGCAUUGAUAAUUUUUGACAGUCCCUAUGGAGA